rnacentral:rRNA from 1 species
AGCUAAUACCCUACUACGCUAUCUUUUUUCGUUAAAGGAAUAGGAAAGACCGGGUCGAGGACCUCGGUACUCAAGGAGGGGCUCAUGUCCUAUCAGCUUGUUGGUGGGGUAACGGCCUACCAAGGCUACGACGGGUAGGCUGGUCUGAGAGGAUGAUCAGCCACACUGGCACUGAGAUACGGGCCAGACUCCCUACGGGAGGCAGCAGUGAGGAAUAUUGCGCAAUGGGCGAAAGCCUGACGCAGCGACGCCGCGUGGGGGAUGAAGGUUUUCGGAUUGUAAACCCCUUUCAUGAGGAAAGAUAAAGUGGGUAACCACUUAGACGGUACCUCAAGAAGAAGCCACGGCUAACUUCGUG